rnacentral:rRNA from 1 species
AGAGUUUGGACAUGGCUCAGGACGAACGCUGGCGGCGUGCUUAACACAUGCAAGUCGAACGAUGAACCGCUUUCGGGCGGGGAUUAGUGGCGAACGGGUGAGUAACACGUGGGCAAUCUGCCCUGCACUCUGGGACAAGCCCUGGAAACGGGGUCUAAUACCGGAUAUGACCGUCUGCCGCAUGGUGGAUGGUGUAAAGCUCCGGCGGUGCAGGAUGAGCCCGCGGCCUAUCAGCUUGUUGGUGAGGUAGUGGCUCACCAAGGCGACGACGGGUAGCCGGCCUGAGAGGGCGACCGGCCACACUGGGACUGAGACACGGCCCAGACUCCUACGGGAGGCAGCAGUGGGGAAUAUUGCACAAUGGGCGAAAGCCUGAUGCAGCGACGCCGCGUGAGGGAUGACGGCCUUCGGGUUGUAAACCUCUUUCAGCAGGGAAGAAGCGA